UGCUAUGGGGGUCCGACUAAGCCAUGCGAGUCAUGGGGCGCGCUCUGCGCGCACCGGCGGGGACGGCUCAGUAACACGUCGGUAACCUACCCUCGGGAGGGGGAUAACCCCGGGAAACUGGGGCUAAUCCCCCAUAGGCCUGAGGUACUGGAAGGUCCUCAGGCCAGAAAGGGCUGUAAGCCGCCCGAGGAUGGGCCGGCGGCCGAUUAGGUAGUUGGUGGGGUAACGGCCCACCAAGCCGAAGAUCGGUACGGGCCAUGAGAGUGGGAGCCCGGAGAUGGACACUUGAGACACGGGUCCAGGCCCUACGGGGCGCAGCAGGCGCGAAACCUCCGCAAUGCGGGCAACCGCGACGGGGGGACCCCCAGUGCCGUGGCAACGCCACGGCUUUUCCGGAGUGUAAAAAGCUCCGGGAAUAAGGGCUGGGCAAGGCCGGUGGCAGCCGCCGCGGUAAUACCGGCGGCCCGAGUGGUGGCCGCUAUUAUUGGGCCUAAAGCGUCCGUAGCCGGGCCCGUAAGUCCCUGGCGAAAUCCCACGGCUCAACCGUGGGGCUUGCUGGGGAUACUGCGGGCCUUGGGACCGGGAGAGGCGGGGGGUACCCCUGGGGUAGGGGUGAAAUCCUAUAAUCCCAGGGGGACCGCCAGUGGCGAAGGCGCCCCGCUGGAACGGGUCCGACGGUGAGGGACGAAGGCCAGGGGAGCGAACCGGAUUAGAUACCCGGGUAGUCAUGGCUGUAAGGGAUGCGGGCUAGGGUGUCGGGCGAGCUUCCAGCUCNCCCGGUGCCGAAGGGAAGCCGUUAAGCCCGCCGCCUGGGGAGUACGGCCGCAAGGCUGAAACUUAAAGGAAUUGGCGNGGGGAGCACUACAAGGGGUGGAGCGUGCGGUUUAAUUGGAUUCAACGCCGGGAACCUCACUCGGGGAUCGACAGCAGGAUGAAGGCCAGGCUGAAGGUCUUGCCANGACACGCCGNNAGGANGUGCAUGGCCGCCGUCNGCUCGUACCAGUGAGGCGUCCACUUAAGUGUGGUAACGAGCGAUANCCGCGCCCCCAGUUGCCAUUCCUCCCC
rnacentral:rRNA from 1 species